AAACCAGGACAAAGGAAAGGUAGGGACAGGGCAGGAGAAGGACAGGGAAAGGGCAGGUCAGGGCCAGGAUAGAACAGGGUAUGGCCAAAAGCAGGGCAGGACCAUAGGA